GACGAACGCUGGCGGCGUGCUUAACACAUGCAAGUCGAACGGAAAGGCCCUGCCUUUGUGGGGUGCUCGAGUGGCGAACGGGUGAGUAACACGUGAGUAACCUGCCCUUGACUUUGGGAUAACUUCAGGAAACUGGGGCUAAUACCGGAUAGGAGCUCCUGCUGCAUGGUGGGGGUUGGAAAGUUUCGGCGGUUGGGGAUGGACUCGCGGCUUAUCAGCUUGUUGGUGGGGUAGUGGCUUACCAAGGCUUUGACGGGUAGCCGGCCUGAGAGGGUGACCGGCCACACUGGGACUGAGACACGGCCCAGACUCCUACGGGAGGCAGCAGUGGGGAAUAUUGCACAAUGGGCGGAAGCCUGAUGCAGCAACGCCGCGUGCGGGAUGACGGCCUUCGGGUUGUAAACCGCUUUCGGCUGUGACGAAGCGUGAGUGACGGUAAUGGGUAAAGAAGCACCGGCUAACUACGUG
rnacentral:rRNA from 1 species